rnacentral:rRNA from 1 species
AGUGAACGCUGGCGGUAGGCCUAACACAUGCAAGUCGAACGGCAGCACAGUAAGAGCUUGCUCUUACGGGUGGCGAGUGGCGGACGGGUGAGGAAUACAUCGGAAUCUACAUUUUCGUGGGGGAUAACGUAGGGAAACUUACGCUAAUACCGCAUACGACCUACGGGGGAAAGCAUGGGAUCUUCGGACCUUGCGCGAUUGAAUGAGCCGAUGUCGGAUUAGCUAGUUGGCGGGGUAAAGGCCCACCAAGGCGACGAUCCGUAGCUGGUCUGAGAGGAUGAUCGGCCACACUGGAACUGAGACACGGUCCAGACUCCUACGGGAGGCAGCAGUGGGGAAUAUUGGACAAUGGGCGCAAGUCUGAUCCAGCGAUACCGCGUGGGUGAAGAAGGCCUUCGGGUUGUAAAGCCCUUUUGUUGGGAAAGAAAAGCAGCAGGUUAAUACGCCGCUGUUCUGACGGUACCCAAAGAAUAAGCACCGGCUAACUUCGUG